GUCAAUGGCUGGAGCUGAGGAAUAACAGGGAAAAUAUGAAAGAGCAACUGUACAGAUUUUCGCUUAAUCCCUUUUCUGCAAGUUGAAACAUCUCAAACUGUUACUCAUUGAAAAUCCCGAAGCUUCUUUUCAAAGGAAGAGGGAAUCACUGGCUAGGCAGCAUUUAUUGCCAUCCCUAAUUGCCCAGAAGGCAUUUAAGAAUCAGCCUCAUUGCUGUGGGUCUGGAUGCUGUAGAUCAGACCAGGAGUAUGGAUCAGGGAACCAGCAUUUCAAUGCAAGCUGCUGGUCGAUAAAUUUACCCUUGCAAUGUUGAUGAAGAAGACACUGAACUCUCAUGAUUUCAAGAAAAGGCUGCUGAAGAGAGCCUGAC